rnacentral:lncRNA from 1 species
AGCUGCUCACUUGGAAAUUAAGAAAGAGAAGAAAACUUCAUUAGGAUUUGAGCUCUGCCUGUGACAUCAGUUGGGUGACUUUUCAACAGUGAAAGCGAGGAAGGAGGAAGCAAUCACAUCACAUCACAUCAGUGCAGGUGUCUCACCAGUGGUAGCCUUGGAUUGGCAGAAGAUUGCUUUCAGCGGGUCUGCCUUUGGAAAUCAUCUUCUCCCUGACCUGAGUGUCUUUACUCUGUCCCUGUCAUUGAUAGAGGCUGUGUGUCAAAAAAGGAAUUUUUGUAACUACUAAACUGACAGUUGUCUUGAACCUCUUUCGAGAUAUUAGCCUGCACCAAACAGAGAACUAAGGUUAAGAUUGGACAGGUG